UGCUGCAGUUUCUCCAUCAUUCCAGUGACGACGGUCGGAGGCUCAACGUCGAGAAAGAAGUGUUGCGCUUGUUUUCGAAAUAUUUGGCUUUAAUCCAAUAUUUCAUAGAUAUUUCGCUUUUGAAAGUACAUUGUUGCUUCGUUUAAACACUUUUUGAGGUGCUUUUCUUCGUAGCUGGCAUUUUUUGUCGACGAUUUGAGAAAGAGAUUUCGUAGCUAACGUAAACUGCCUUUGGCAGAAUCUCAGAACGAUGGCUACACAGGUUAACUCUCACUCGGACAUGGCUCAGGCUCGCCAGAGCGACGGCCUCCAUGUGAUCUUCGACCAGAAAAGCCCCGGAUCAUCUCGCUCCCGAUCCCGCUCUGUCAGCAGCUCCGCCAGCAGCCGAUCCACCGGUUCCGGCUACAGGGCGCGCAAAGGUCGCCGGGGUCGUUACAGGUCAUCAUCCUCAUCCUCCUCAUCUUCUUCCAGGAGCAGGUCAUCUUCUCGCUCCAGGUCGCGUUCCAGGUCCCGCUCCCACCCUCGUUGCCACCGGCACUCCUCCCGCUGCCGGUGUGAUGACCACCGCAGUUAUGGCGGCGACCGAUACCGCCGUUCCCCACCCAGGCGCUACAGGGCGCGCUCCCGAUCCUACAGUCGAUCUCCAGCCCGCCGCUAUAGAGGACGCUCCCGCUCCUACAGCCGAUCCCCUCCACGCCGCUACAGGGCGCACUCCCGCUCCUACACACGGUCCCCCUCAGCAGACAGAUAUUACCGCUAUCGCCGGAGCUACAGGUCCAGGUCCCGCUCCUGGUCUCCGGCCCGCUGGAGCAGAUACAGGAGGCCCGUGAGUCAGCUGAGAUGCAGGUUUUCUCGUUCCCCUUCCAGGCCCUACAGGGGGCGCUCACGAUCCAGGUCAUCAGGACGCUCUGUCAGUCUAAGCGUGCAUGACAAAAGGGAACUCCUUGAAGUUGCCAAGGCCAAUGCAAUGAGGAUGCUGGGAGUGGAGAAGCUGGACCUUCCUGAAAGUGUGAAGCCCAUCCUGUCUGAGCAGCCAGAGGCCAGACGUCACUCACCGGAGCCUCUCACCAGGGUGAGGCAAGGGCCCCAAAAGACUCAGGUGGAGGUGAGUGGUCUGCAAAAGUAAAGGGCAUUAAAAGGAAACGACUCUCCAGGCAUUGAAAGGUUGGGAAAGCAGUUUCCUUUCCAUUACGGUACAGUACUAUUGGCCUGGAAAAUGUUUUAUUAAGGUAACAGAUUUGUUGUUAAAAGAACAUUCAGUUCUUUAAAUUUGCUGCUGGUCAGUUUUUAUUGAAGCUGACUCCUUACCUGCUCUUGAUCUACUUUUUUUUUUUUUUGUAACAUUUCCUGUCUUGUAAAUCUUCUGACCCAUGAGGGAACACACAUGCUCUCUGUAUUUAUUCCUGUCUUCAUAGAUUACAUGACAGUGGUCUCCUUCACUCAUCGGCACCUGGGAUAAAAAGGCUGUCAUGUGACUUGGAUGAAAUGGGUUAUUGUUAUAGCAGAAUCUUCCACUCGCUGAAGGAGAACAGACAUGUGUCAAGAGAACUUCUGCGUAUCCUAAAGAUAAGUUGGUACACAAGAUGUGUGCUGAGGGGCUGGGGGAACCUGCGUCUUCAUCAUUGAUCCAUCAGUCUUCCAGUUAAAACUAAUUAGUAAAUGUUUAUAACAGCUUCAAUGUUUAUCCUUCAGAUUUUUAUUUUUUUUAGUAAUGAAAGGGCUGCAUGAAAGCUGCAGUUUGAAAGUGCCAUAUAUACAAAUUAGUGAUAUCUUAUCCGCCUUAGACCCGAGUCCAUGGACUGUAGGUUGAACUGCGAUUUGUUGCUCAUGAUUAACUUUUCAUGUUUUCUCUCCUUGAAUUAGGACGAGGCAGAGCCUGGUGUGUCCAGCCCGAGGAUCGAACGGAAAAUAGCUUUCAGUGUUAAUAAUUCUGUGGCCAAACCAACCGUGGUGGCUCCGCCUCCUGCAAAGGUAACGCCCAGGGUCGACAGCGUUGAAAGUCGGAAGCCCUAUGGCCACUGGAUUCCCAUCAGUUCAGGACAAAGAUCCAGUCCAAGCAAACAUGUUUAAUAAGCCAUGUGUACGGCAGAGUACAUGGACACUGUGAAUAAUG